GACAGAGGGUGCAAACGUUGUUCGGAAUUACUGGGCGUAAAGCGCGUGUAGGCGGCAGGGCAAGUCGGAUGUGAAAUCCCGUGGCUCAACCACGGAAGUGCACCCGAAACUGCCCAGCUAGAGUCUCGGAGAGGAAGGUGGAAUGCUUGGUGUAGAGGUGAAAUUCGUAGAUAUCAAGCGGAACACCGGUGGCGAAGGCGGCCUUCUGGACGAUGACUGACGCUGAGACGCGAAAGCGUGGGGAGCAAACAGG
rnacentral:rRNA from 1 species